rnacentral:tRNA from 2 species
GGCGCUGUGGCUUAGUUGGUUAAAGCGCCUGUCUUGUAAACAGGAGAUCCUGGGUCCAAAUCCCAGCAGUGCCU